GAAUAUUUGGCACUUUUUAAUUGUCAAAUAUUCCUUUAUUUGACAGUUUUUAAAUAUCAAUUAAUCUCUUUUUUGUUAUAGUGAUAUCAUAUUCUAUGGGGCUUAAUCCUAACAACAGGUUUAGGAGCUAGUUUCACUUGUAUUUUUUUCUUCAUUCUCUUCUUAUUGUUAUCACUAGGUUCUUCAUCCUUCUCAAUCGUGGUAUCACUAAUCUCAUCUAUGUUAAACCUAAACAAGUCAAACUAUUUAAAUAUAGGUCCUUCUCAGUUCUCUCAGAAUCUACUUCUGUUUUACUUUAUACUAUUUCCACACUAGAUUCUCUGUCAUCAUCAUCUCUAAAAGCCUGAUCCGAGGACUAUUAAGGCAGCACAUUAUGCAGAGCAUGAGAAAAUAGAGCUUGGGUCAACUCAAGUCAAACGAUCAGAAGCUAUUAAGCAAUGCAGCAGUCCAAACUAACAGCUCAGCACAGUUAGUUAAAGUUUGUUAUGACUCACACAAUGUGUACCGAACAAAUGAUUAGCUGGAUUUAAUUCUUAGUUAGUUAUUGAUUAGUGAGUAUAAAUAUAUGUGAUGUAAUCAUCUUUGUUAUGGAAUGAAAGUUUCGGAAAUCAGAAAAUUAUUUUCUCUAAGAUUUUCUCUCAAGCCAAACACUUUGUUUCUCAUUUUCUUCAUGGUAUUAGAGCCAUAAUCAUGGUGAACUCAAAUACAACUCAUUCAAAUCCAAAUUUUCUCAAUCAAAAUCAAGCUUCAAAUGUUUUAUUCACAUUCACUACUCCUGUCAAGCUUGAUCGAUCCAAUUAUUUGCUCUGGCGCAAACAAGUUCUCACAUUUAUAAGAGGCAAUCGACUUGAACAUUAUAUUCUGGAAACCAAGC
rnacentral:lncRNA from 1 species